rnacentral:rRNA from 1 species
UAAUACCCUAUAGGUUACAGAUGCUGGAAUGCUCUGUAACUCAAAGUUCCGGCGCCUUAGGAUGGAUCUGCGGCCGAUUAGGUUGUUGUUGGGGUAACGGCCCAACAAGCCAGUAAUCGGUACGGGUUGUGGGAGCAAGAGCCCGGAGUUGGAUUCUGAGACACGAAUCCAGGCCCUACGGGGCGCAGCAGGCGCGAAAACUUUACAAUGCGGGCAACCGUGAUAAGGGAACCUCGAGUGCCUGUAUAUGCAGGCUGUCCAGGUGUCUAAAGAACACCUGAAGAAAGGGCCGGGCAAGACCGGUGCCAGCCGCCGCGGUAAUACCGGCGGCUCGAGUGGUGGCCACUUUUAUUGGGCUUAAAGCGUUCGUAGCUGGGUUAUUAAGUCUCUUGGGAAAUCCGACGGCUCAACUGUCGGGCGUCUAAGAGAUACUGGUAAUCUUGGAACCGGGAGAGGUGAGGGGUACUUCGGGGGUAGGAGUGAAAUCCUGUAAUCCUCGAGGGACCACCUGUGGCGAAGGCGCCUCACCAGAACGGCUUCGACAGUGAGGGACGAAAGCUGGGGGAGCAAACCGGAUUAGAUACCCGGGUAGUCCCAGCCGUAAACGAUGCGCGUUAGGUGU